GCAGGGAAUAUUGCGCAAUGGGCUAAAGCCUGACGCAGCGACGCCGCGUGGGGGAAGAAGGCCUUCGGGUCGUAAACCCCUUUUCUUGGGGAAGAGCAAGGACGGUACCCAAGGAAUAAGCCUUGGCUAACUACGUGCCAGCAGCCGCGGUAAUACGUAGGAGGCGAGCGUUGUCCGGAAUUACUGGGCGUAAAGAGCGUGUAGGCGGCUUGGUAAGUCUCCUGGUAAAUCUCACGGCUUAACUGUGAGGCUUUAGGGGAAACUGCCAGACUUGAGGGCAGCAGAGGAAGAUGGAAUUCCCGGUGUAGUGGUGAAAUGCGUAGAUAUCGGGAGGAACACCAGUGGCGAAGGCGGUCUUCUGGGCUGUACCUGACGCUGAGACGCGAAAGCGUGGGUAGCAAACCGG
rnacentral:rRNA from 1 species